rnacentral:lncRNA from 1 species
AAACUACGAAGCCACAUCCACUUUACUAUCGAUAAGUAGUUACUCGAAUCGGUGUGAAUGUGCCAACACAUUAACAAACUGCUGAAAAGCGACGAAAAUGACACAUGUUAAUAACAAUACGCGCAUAGAGAUGUGUUCACAUCUAUUAAGAUAUGUGUAUUCGUAUAAAAAAUACAAAAAUGCGCAAAAAUACGCAAUUCUAAGAAGAAUUGAUAUAAAAUAUUAUUAGGUGGCUCGGAUACUGCACGCAGACUGACUAUCUGUCUAUCGCGACCAUCGCCAUGCGACUUCUGGUCCGCGACUGCCGGGCCCGUUCGCGCUAUCGAGCUCGCGCUCGUCCUUUGUUUUUUCAGUUCCGUACCUAUAAAAUAUGCGCAACGUCCUUCCAGGACACACUUAUUGAUAGGGAUACAGUUAUUGACACAUUAACUCUUUUAACUUAAAUUUCUCGUCACAUGCACGACGCUCGUAUGCAAAGUUUAUAUGCUCGUACAAAGUACCUUUUCGCCAACAGAUUUACUGAGUUAUCUUAGAUUUCUGUCAUUGCGUUUCGAAGCGGCCAGCAAAACCAUGCACUGAUCUAUUCGGAACAUCGCCAGGAGUGGGUCAGUGAUUGUUUUUGCUACCGCUUUGAAACGCAAUGACAGAAAUCCAAGAUAACGCAGUAAAUUUAUUGGUGAAGGAGUACUUUGUACGAGCAUAUGAACGUUUCACACAAGAGCCAUGCAUGUGUCGAGAAAUUUCAAUUAAACACAUUAAUGUGUCAAUAACUAUAUCCGUGUCAGUGAUUGUAUCUCUUACCCUAUGUUCAUUUGGUUUCAAUAAAGCGCAAUAUCUGACAAUUUGUGUUCCUCUGUCUUAUUACUUAUUUCUUACUAGCUCUUUUUGUUGCUACUGUUAUUGUUUUUAUACGAAAGUGUUUUAAUGUUAUAUGUCGUUCCUCAAACGUUGGUUUGAAAUAUCAUUUCACAUAUGGAAUGUAUCAAAACUGACGGACGAAAUACACUCCUUUAUAGAAAUUUAUUA